UUUUAUAAGCUUGCUCUUUGAAUGAGAUGGUGCACUGGACGUGUUGCUUCAGGAUAUGUAUUGUAUAGGCCCCGAAAGGAGAUGAAAGGCUGUGAUCUCUGGAUAAAAUUCUGCUUACAAACGAAGCAUCUAGCGUUAGCGAGUAUAUAAGCUAGUGGAAUAUAUAAGUUAGUGGAAUACCUGAUGGAGCUUGUAUAAUUCUGCUUGUAGACAUAUUUGUAUCUUGUCAGUUGCUCACUUUGUUGAGCAAAUUGUGUAACUUUGUAUCGUAGCACAAGAGUUGUGGUUGGCAAAAAAAUGAAUCAUGAAUUGUGCAGAUAGCACUUGUUAUUA